rnacentral:tRNA from 1 species
GGGCGCCUAGCUCAGUUGGUUAGAGCGCGGUCCUCACACGGCCGAGGUCACUGGUUCGAGCCCAGUGGCGCCCACCA